UACGUAGGGUGCAAGCGUUGUCCGGAAUUACUGGGCGUAAAGGGCUCGUAGGCGGCCAACUAAGUCAGACGUGAAAUCCCUCGGCUUAACCGGGGAACUGCGUCUGAUACUGGAUGGCUUGAGGUUGGGAGAGGGAUGCGGAAUUCCAGGUGUAGCGGUGAAAUGCGUAGAUAUCUGGAGGAACACCGGUGGCGAAGGCGGCAUCCUGGACCAAUUCUGACGCUGAGGAGCGAAAGCCAGGGGAGCAAAGCGGG
rnacentral:rRNA from 1 species